rnacentral:rRNA from 1 species
ACGGAAGGCAGCAGUGAGGAAUAUUGGUCAAUGGGCGGAAGCCUGAACCAGCCAAGUCGCGUGAAGGAUGAAGGUAUUAUGUAUUGUAAACUUCUUUAGCAGUGGAGUAAUAAGGGAGUCGUGACUCCUGAUGCAAGUACACUGAAAAUAAGGAUCGGCUAACUCCGUGCCAGCAGCCGCGGUAAUACGGAGGAUCCGAGCGUUAUCCGGAUUUAUUGGGUUUAAAGGGUGCGCAGGCGGCCUUGUAAGUCAGCGGUUAAAUCGUGGAGCUCAACUCCAUCCCGCCGUUGAUACUGCAGGGCUUGAUUGCGGUUGAGGUUGGCGGAAUUCGUCGUGUAGCGGUGAAAUGCAUAGAUAUGACGAAGAACACCGAUUGCGUAGGCAGCUUACCAGACCGUAAAUGACGCUCAUGCACGAAAGUGCGGGGAUCGAACAGGAUUAGAUACCCUGGUA